AAUUUGCGAAUAAUCAUUAUUUUAUUAGGAAGGUGAGAAGGUUCAGCGGAAUGUAACAACUGCGGAUACUUUAAUGGACCUAAUAAGAAAUUGUUUUCCUCCCAAUAUAAUCCAAGCUAACCUGCAACAAUAUCAGACAUCUAUUAUAUAUCCAGGGGAAGAAUUUAAUAAUAUAACUGGAGAGGAUCCUGAUGAUAAAAACACGUGGAAAGUUACAAGCAACUGGACAAAUUCUACAAAUAUUCUAGGACUCGUUGUUUUCUCAAUUGUGACAGGGAUAGCUAUAUCAUUAUCAGAAGAGGAGGGGAUACCGUUGCUGAGGUUUGUGGAGAGUGUUAGUGUUGUCAUGAUGAAGGUUACAACGUGGAUAAUCCAUCUAGCACCAAUAGGAGUUCUUUUCCUUAUAGCCAGUCAGAUACUGGAGAUGGAUAAUAUUGCUGAAGAGUUUGGUAAGCUUGGCUGGUAUUUUGGAACUGUCAUGCUAGGAUUAUGUAUUCACGCAUUCAUCACACUACCUCUCAUCUAUAUAAUAUGCACUCGAUCCCUACCAUUCAGAUUCCUGGCAAAUAUGGCAAAUGUUUAUGUGACGGCGUUUGGCACAGCUUCUAGCUCAGCUACUCUGCCAGUCACCAUGAACGCACUUGAGGACAAGAAUGGGGUUGACCCGCGUAUUAGUAGAUUUGUAUUGCCUAUUGGUGCAACUAUCAACAUGGACGGGACUGCUCUUUAUGAAGCUGUUGCGGCAAUUUUUAUUGCGCAGAUGAACGGUAUCUUUCCCAGCAUAGGCCAGAUAAUUGCAAUCUCUAUAACAGCAACCUGUGCUAGUAUUGGUGCUGCAGGAAUACCCCAGGCUGGAUUGGUAACCAUGGUUAUGGUUCUGGAUACAGUUGGUCUUCCAUCUGAAUCCAUAUCCAUAAUUCUAUCCCUUGAUUGGUUGCUGGAUAGGUUUCGCACGGCUAUAAAUGUACUUGGAGACACUAUAGGAGCUGGCAUUGUUGCACAUCUCAGUAAAAAGGAACUUGAAGAAAUGACACUGAAGGAAUUGAAAAUUGAAGAGGAAAAGGCGUUGGAAGAAGAAAAUGACAAACUAUAAACAUGAAGAAACUUAUUUUUUGUUUAGCAUUCACAAAAAUUCCAGAAAAUCGAAAAUUGAUGUCGUCUGCUUUGCGUAAUGCAUGUCUGUAUAUGAAUACUUUGUUAUAUGAAAAAGCAAAAAAAAUGCAAUUUCUUUAUGACCAAAAACUUUUAAAGAACUUGAGCUCUGAUGAAAUUUAAACUGAGUCUGAUUGAAAUCAAAUCUCAAGUUCUAUCAUUUAUUUGUCAUACUUCUAAUCAUACAAUACGAAUUUAAUAUCUAUGAUUUUCUAUUUUGUCUCAAAAUUUGUAUGUUCAGAAUUUUAUGAAAUAUAUGUAUGUACUCAUUAAAAAUUAAAUUUAGCAAGUGUAUUAAAGGAUAUGGAUCAACGAUGUAAUUAUUGUGUUUCAUCCUCACCAGUGUAUACCAGUAUAUUUAAAAAGAAAGACUCAAAUUUCAAAUUUUUCAUUAAAUGUUUCCUGCAUUUUAACAGCUUUUACACCCCUAUCUAACCCGAACCGAAAACCUUUAAAUACUAAAGCCUGUAUAUAGAUAUAUGUAUUAUCAGGUUGUGAACCGAACAAAAGGAAUAACACUCGAAAGAGGGAAAAUAAGGCGAGUUGGCAAGGAAAACACUCUUUCCAACCACACACAGAUA
rnacentral:misc_RNA from 1 species